GUGGGCUUACACUUCUUGCAUGACAGGCAGACAUGUCCAGGCUUGAAUGGAAAGGGGUGAUCUUGAAUACGUAAAUAUGUCAGAAGACCAAGAGAUCACGGUGAAAAGCUGGUGGAUAGGAUGUUAGAAGGGAACAACAAUAAUGGAAAAGCUAGGGGAAUGCUGCUCACGUGGGGCAAGCCUUUGAGCAAGCUCGAUGGCCACAUGCAUUUGGGUUCUUGCUCACUCUCCCUGUGGCUGAGAUGCAGGCUCUCCAUGUUCAUCUAAAAAACUGCACCAAGAUGAAAAUACCCAAAAACUGUACCAGAGACUUGGCUUAUGCAUUGUUUAUGUUUCCACUCAAGAACUGUGUGUAUCUCUGGGAGGAUAGAUUGCACACUUUGCCACUUCUGUAAGAAAUCAAGUCUAGUGCUUGGUGAACCCUUACUGUGAUCUAGAUUGGUACCUCGGAGGUUUCAGAAUAGCAAAUGUCAUUCUGAGCCGAAGAUGGGCCUACUGGAGGAGCGGUCAACUGUGCUGACACCAGACAUCCUGAAUCAAUUGUGGAUUUAUGCAACGAAGCGACAACAGGCAUCAGGACUUUGCAACAUCUCCAG